CACGUAGGGGGCAAGCGUUGUCCGGAUUUAUUGGGCGUAAAGAGCUCGUAGGCGGUUCGGUAAGUCGGGUGUGAAACCUCCAGGCUCAACCUGGAGAUGCCACCUGAUACUGCUGUGACUCGAGUCCGGUAGGGGAGCGUGGAAUUCCUGGUGUAGCGGUGGAAUGCGCAGAUAUCAGGAGGAACACCGGUGGCGAAGGCGGAUCUCUGGGCCUUACCUGACGCUCAGGUGCGAAAGCUAGGGGAGCGAACAGG
rnacentral:rRNA from 1 species